UACGGGGGGAGCAAGCGUUGUUCGGAUUUACUGGGCGUAAAGGGCGCGUAGGCGGUCGUGACAAGUCACUUGUGAAAUCUCCGGGCUUAACUCGGAACGGUCAGUGAUACUGUCGGACUAGAGUACAGAAGGGGCAACUGGAAUUCUCGGUGUAGCGGUGAAAUGCGUAGAUAUCGAGAGGAACACCUGCGGCGAAGGCGGGUUGCUGGGGCUGAUGACUGACGCUGAGGCGCGAAAGCCAGGGGAGCGAACGGG
rnacentral:rRNA from 1 species